rnacentral:rRNA from 1 species
UACGUAGGGUGCAAGCGUUGUCCGGAAUUACUGGGCGUAAAGAGCUCGUAGGUGGUUUGUCGCGUCGUCUGUGAAAUUCCGGGGCUUAACUCCGGGCGUGCAGGCGAUACGGGCAUAACUUGAGUACUGUAGGGGAGACUGGAAUUCCUGGUGUAGCGGUGAAAUGCGCAGAUAUCAGGAGGAACACCGGUGGCGAAGGCGGGUCUCUGGGCAGUAACUGACGCUGAGGAGCGAAAGCAUGGGUAGCGAACAGGAUUAGAUACCCUCCU